ACAGGUUAAUAUUCCUGUACUUGGUGUUACUGCGAAGGGGGGACGGAGAAGGCUAUGUUAGCCGGGCGACGGUUGUCCCGGUUUAAGCAUGUAGGCUGGUUGUCCAGGCAAAUCCGGAUAAUCAAGGCUGAGGUGUGAUGACGAGGUACUACGGUGCUGAAGUAACAAAUGCCCUGCUUCCAGGAAAAGCCUCUAAGCAUCAGGUAACAUCAAAUCGUACCCCAAACCGACACAGGUGGUCAGGUAGAGAAUACCAAGGCGCUUGAGAGAACUCGGGUGAAGGAACUAGGCAA
rnacentral:rRNA from 1 species